rnacentral:rRNA from 1 species
GACGAACCGUGCGAACGUUGUUCGGAAUCACUGGGCUUAAAGGGCGCGUAGGCGGGUGUGCAAGUCUGUGGUGAAAGCCUCCAGCUUAACUGGAGAAGUGCCAUGGAUACUGCACAUCUUGAGGAGGGUAGGGGCAUCUGGAACGGUCGGUGGAGCGGUGAAAUGCGUUGAUAUCGACCGGAACGCCGGUGGCGAAGGCGAGGUGCUGGACCCUUUCUGACGCUGAGGCGCGAAAGCCAGGGGAGCAAACGGG